UACGGAGGAGGCAAGCGUUAUCCGGAAUUAUUGGGCGUAAAGCGUCCGCAGGUGGUUAUCCAAGUCUGCUGUUAAAGCGCGAGGCUUAACUUCGUACAGGCAGUGGAAACUGGGUGACUGGAGUAUGGUAGGGGUAGCGGGAAUUCCCAGUGUAGCGGUGAAAUGCGUAGAUAUUGGGAAGAACACCAGCGGCGAAAGCGCGCUACUGAGCCAUUACUGACACUCAUGGACGAGAGCUAGGGGAGCGAAAGGG
rnacentral:rRNA from 1 species